GACGAACGCUGGCGGCGUGCCUAAUACAUGCAAGUUGAGCGCUGAAGGUUGGUACUUGUACCAACUGGAUGAGCAGCGAACGGGUGAGUAACGCGUGGGGAAUCUGCCUUUGAGCGGGGGACAACAUUUGGAAACGAAUGCUAAUACCGCAUAAAAACUUUAAACACAAGUUUUAAGUUUGAAAGAUGCAAUUGCAUCACUCAAAGAUGAUCCCGCGUUGUAUUAGCUAGUUGGUGAGGUAAAGGCUCACCAAGGCGAUGAUACAUAGCCGACCUGAGAGGGUGAUCGGCCACAUUGGGACUGAGACACGGCCCAAACUCCUACGGGAGGCAGCAGUAGGGAAUCUUCGGCAAUGGACGAAAGUCUGACCGAGCAACGCCGCGUGAGUGAAGAAGGUUUUCGGAUCGUAAAACUCUGUUGGUAGAGAAGAACGUUGGUGAGAGUGGAAAGCUCAUCAAGUGACGGUAACUACCCAGAAAGGGACGGCUAACUACGUGCCAGCCGCCGCGGUAACAC
rnacentral:rRNA from 1 species